rnacentral:rRNA from 1 species
GUAGUCUCGCACAGAUGCAUAUCAAUAAGCGGAGGAAAAGAAACUAACAAGGAUUCCCCUAGUAACGGCGAGUGAAGCGGGAAGAGCUCAAAUUUGAAAUCUUAAAGGGUUUCCCUUUACGAAUUGUAGUUUAAAGAAGUGUUUUCUGUUGAGGUUUUGGUAAAAGUUCUUUGGAAUAGGACAUCAUAGAGGGUGAGAAUCCCGUAUUUGACCUUUACUUUCAACUUUGUGAUACACUUUCAAAGAGUCGGAUUGUUUGGGAAUGCAGUCCAAAAUGGGUGGUAAAUUUCAUCUAAAGCUAAAUAUUGGCGAGAGACCGAUAGCGAACAAGUACCGUGAGGGAAAGAUGAAAAGAACUUUGAAAAGAGAGUUAAACAGUACUGUGAAAUUGUCAAAAGGGAAGCGUUUGACACCAGUGUUGUUUUUCUGAAAAUCAAUUAAAGAACUGUUUAUGCUAAGCUGUUUAGACUUUAUCAGCUAUACUGUUUAGUUUUGAGCUUUUCUUUAAUGCACUUUUCAGUUAACAAGUCAACAUCAAUUUCUUUUGCUGUAAAGAAGCUUGAGGAAGGUGGCUUGAGAUUCGUCUUAAGUGUUUAUAGCCUCUUGCCUAUGCAGUCGGAGAGAUUGAGGUCUGCAGCGUAGAUCCUUCGGGGCUAAAUGCAUUUGUGCUAAGUUAUAACAUUUUAUAGACAACUUGUUGACUAUGAUUUGUCUUGUAGCUUACUCGCUUAUGUUAUUUUACCUACGCUUAGGAUGUUGACAGCAGUAUAGACUGU